UACGAAGGGGGCGAGCGUUGUUCGGAUUUACUGGGCGUAAAGGGCGCGUAGGCGCUUGUCAGUCAGGCGUGAAAGCCCCGGGCUCAACCUGGGAACGGCGCUUGGGACGGCGAGGCUGGAGUUCGGGGAGAGGAGAGUGGAAUUCCCAGUGUAGAGGUGAAAUUCGUAGAUAUUGGGAAGAACACCGGUGGCGAAGGCGGCUCUCUGGACCGACACUGACGCUGAGGCGCGAAAGCGUGGGGAGCGAACAGG
rnacentral:rRNA from 1 species